rnacentral:rRNA from 1 species
ACGAACGCUGGCGGCGUGCCUAACACAUGCAAGUCGAACGGGGAUAUCAAAGUAGCAAUACGGGGAUAUUCUAGUGGCGGACGGGUGAGUAACGCGUGAGCAAUCUGCCUUACAGAGGGGGAUACCGAUUGGAAACGGUCGUUAAUACCGCAUAACGUGCGGGGAUGGCAUCAUUCCUGUACCAAAGGAGCAAUCCGCUGAAAGAUGAGCUCGCGUCUGAUUAGCUAGUUGGCGGGGUAAUGGCCCACCAAGGCGACGAUCAGUAGCCGGACUGAGAGGUUGAACGGCCACAUUGGGACUGAGAUACGGCCCAGACUCCUACGGGAGGCAGCAGUGGGGAAUAUUGGGCAAUGGGCGCAAGCCUGACCCAGCAACGCCGCGUGAAGGAAGAAGGCUUUCGGGUUGUAAACUUCUUUGACGAGGGAAGAAAAAAAUGACGGUACCUCGAAAACAAGCCACGGCUAACUACGU